UGGGGUAACGGCCUACCAAGGCUAUGACGGGCAGCUGGUCUGAGAGGACGACCAGUCACACUGGGACUGAGACACUGCCCAGACUCCUACGGGAGGCUGCAGUCGAGAAUCUUCCGCAAUGGGCGAAAGCCUGACGGAGCGACACCGCGUGCAGGAUGAAGGCCUUCGGGUUGUAAACUGCUGUCACGCUAUAGGAACGCCAUGUCGUUAAUAGCUUCAUGGUUGACCAAAGCGAAAGGAAGCACCGGCUAACUCCGUGCCAGCAGCCGCGGUAAGACGGAGGGUGCGAACGUUGUUCGGAAUCACUGGGCAUAAAGAGCACGUAGGCGGUCUACUAAGUUGGGUGUGAAAGCCCUCGGCUCAACCGAGGAACUGCAUUCAAGACUGGUUGACUUGAGGAUGGUAGGGGUGAGUGGAACUCCUGGUGGAGCGGUGAAAUGCGUAGAUAUCAGGAGGAACACCAGUGGCGAAAGCGGCUCACUGGACCAUUUCUGACGCUGAGGUGCGAAAGCUAGGGUAGCGAACGGGAUUAGAUACCCCGGUAGUCCUAGCCGUAAACGAUGGGCACUAGGUAGGGGGAAUACCUAUGGUUUUCCCUGC
rnacentral:rRNA from 1 species